GUUUUUCCCACGGUUUUUACCUGUUGGGCCCUGGGGUUGAGGAAUAGUGGAAGAAAGGCACAAGGACAGAAAAGAGGAGGAGAAGGGGCGAAAAUGUUGAGUUCUUACUAUAGAUCAGAUCCUGCACCUGGCACCACCCAGAUUGAUAAACUGGAUUAUCUGAUCUUGUGGCCCCUACCCAGAAACUGACUCAGCACCAGAGGACAGCUUCGACUCCCUUUGAUUUCAUCUCUAACCCAACCAAUCAGCACUUUUGACUCACUGGCACCCCACCCACCAAGUCCUCCAUAAUAACUCUGAUCCCUGAAUGCUUGGGGAGACUGAUUUGGGUAAUAAUAAAACUCUGGUUUCCCAUGC
rnacentral:lncRNA from 10 species